ACACUGAACAAUACUGGCCACAUCUCCCAGUCUGGCAGCUGUGCUCCACCCAGACUAGACUGUCAACUAAAGCGCUGCCGAACUCCUGAGCAGUCGAACAGUCUUUUCAACUUUGACUGUGUGUCGAUUCUCUGAGACUCCCCACUGAACGAGUUUUUGGACACAUCAUCGAUACCUGCAAUGCCAGGAAUGGCAAAAGGGGUCUGAAGAACAACGCCAUCAUGAGGGGGACGUGGACAACACAGCAGGCAUAGGGGACCUUCCUACCUUCAUCUUCCCAACACGUCAACCUCAAGCAACGAGUAGGGAAGCUACAGCAUUCUGGACAUAUCAUAUUAGAAGACUUAUAUGCUAUCAAUGUAACUUUUUUUAAAGGGUCACUGGUCAUACAUUUAACAGUGUACAAAGGAUUUAGUGUUUAGAUCAUAUUUCAUUAGUGCAAGGAGGUUGAAAUUAGUGCUUGUCAAUUGAUACUACCCUAUCAGUCAGCAUGGAGGAACAAAGAUCACCAACGUCACCAGAUUCUCAGGCUGAAAAUGUUGAGGUCAAAGCAGAGAAAGGAACACGUAAUGAUGAAGAGUCUGGGAAGGGUGAAGGACCUGCAAAGGGGGAGGAGCCUGGGAAGGAGAAAGAAUCUGGGAAGCAGAGAGAACC